rnacentral:tRNA from 1 species
AGCUCGGUAGCUUAGUUGCUAAAGCGCUCGUCUAGUAUAUAAGAAUGCUGGGUUUGAAUCCCAGUCUAGUAC